ensembl:lncRNA
AUGCCCCCACCCCCUUCAGAAUCAGCCUUUUGUGUGCAGCCAGGAGCUUGUCACUUGUCACACCCCCAGCAUGGGGGUGACCUGUCACACAGGGCAGCGCUGCGGCCCGAGCCCCUGGAGUCGGCCCGUCCCUCUGUCUUUGCCUCCACCAGCGUUGACCGGACGUGGACAGCACAUAACGCCGCCCGCGUGGGGACUGAGUACAAAUCUACAGCAUCGGGGGCAACCAGUGCUUUGGAGAAUGUCUCUGGGCACCGCCCAGGCUCCUCUCUGGAGGGCUCGGGGUGCGUGACUCCGACUUCAUGGCUUCCAUGCCGUCUCGGGUCCCUUGCCACGUCUCCCACUCUGAAGAUGUCCCCAGAGGCCGUGGCAGAGAGCUGGAUGGGAAGUGGAGCAGCCGAGACUCGAACCGGUGCCCAUAUGGGAUGUCGGCGCUGCAGGCGGAGGAUUAACCUACUGCGUCACGGUGCUGGCCCCAGUAUGAAGGGUUUUAAGCCAGGGCCUGACCCCAUCAGCUUGGUAACACAGAAGUCACGCGUGUUAACCAGUGGUUGUCACCCGGGUGAAACUACGCACUCUUGGUGUGCAGGACCCAGAACCUUCUGCGGGCCCAGAAACUGCUGCCGUCACGGAGGCUCCUCCCCCUUCAUGAAUAACCCUCAGCUCAACGUGGACCAGCAGCCAACUCACCUUCCUGAGGAGGUCGGGGCCCAGCCACAGCGACACGGCCUUCCUGCCCCUCCCGGGAGACGAGCCCUGCUGGGGGUGGACACUGCUCCAUGCCAGCCGGCUUAGGCUCCAGGGGCCGCUUCAGUCCCGAGCGCGCGGCCAGGGCCUCGGGGAUCUCACCACACCGUGUCAUGUGAGCACAUUUGCUCCACAAAAGACGUUCUGCUCUGUGGAAAACCAGCUCUGCAGUGACCCCUGCAGCCCCGGGGGCCGACGGCGGGGUGGGGGGGGUGGGGUGAGGGGGGGUGCAGGGGUGAGGGGUGCAGAGGUGAGGUGGAGUGCAACAGUAGGGGAGAGGGUGGGGUGCAGAGGUGGGGUGAGGGAGGGCUGCAAAGGUGGGGUGAGGGUGGGGUGCAGGGCUGGAGUGGGGUGCAACAGGGGUGAAGUGGGGCACAUAGGUGGGGACGCAAAGGUAGGGUAAGGGUGGGGUGAAGGGAGAUGGGAGGUGCAGAGCUGGGGGGAGGGGGUGCAGAGGUGGGUGGUGCAGAAGUGGGGUGAGGGAGGGGUGCAGGGGUGAGGGAUGCAGAGGUGGGGUGAGAGUGGGGUAAGGGCAGGGUGCAGAGGUGGGAGUACAGAGGUGGGGUGGGGUGCAACAGUAGGGUGAUGGCAGGGUGCAGAGGUGGGGUGAGGGUAGGGUGCACAGCACAGUAGCUCCCCUUGUUUGCUGCUCCCCUUCCUACGCCUUCAGCCAUCCAGGGUCCAGACCGUCAGGAGCCUCUAACCGUGGCUGUGGUCAUCCUUGAUCUCCGACUUGCCCGGGGACCGACCUCUUGGGUGUGAAUGUUCAGACCGUAUGGACGAGCCAUGGUGCACGUGAGAGGACUUUUUGCUCCUAGGAAGGGACCACAGAUAAUUUACUUGGGUGCAAGCAAUGGAGAUGCACCCACCAUUUCUGCAGGAUUUCGGGGCCCCUGGGAAAGGGUUUGGUACAAGCCUCAGCUUCAGGCACGCGCUGUGGGCAGAGAAGGGGCGCGGCUGUGAGCGCAGGGUAGAAGCUCUUCACCACCGCCGCCUGGCACGCCCUCCCGCUGGGGUCCAACAGAACUGGGUUCACAUGCUCGCCCCUUGUUUGACUCACGCCGCAACCUCCGGUCCCAGGCGCCUCACCACAGAGUGGGCGGGAUGCCUGCUGUGGGGAGCGCGCCGGGCAGGCCGGACGGCUGGCUCAUCCUCAGGACACAUGACCACUGGCUGAGGGCUCUGCCAGGGUUCACCUCCUCCAGGAAGCCUGCUUGGCACCCCUCCAGGUGCCCAAGCUGCCCCCUGCCUGUGCAGCUCUUGUCCAGUUGGGCACCGUCUCUGCAAUGCCUGUGUCCCCGCCGAGCCCCGUCGCUCAGAGCAGCUGACAGGGACUCUCACCUCCCAGAUGGAGGCCCCAGGGCCCGGCUGCCGCUCUGCCAGCCAUCCCACACCCACCCUGCUGUCUGUCUUUCACAAACCGGGGGCGGGGGUGGUCUGUGAUCGGGGCUGAGCAGGUGCAGGGGCGUCCCAUCAGCACCGCUCGGCCUCAGGCUCACUCAGAAGAACUGGACCAGGGUCUCCCUGAUCUUCAUCAAAGGGGAGGGAAAAACCAACAUGGCUGGCGCAGUUUCCCAUACACCUACAUGGCCUAAAGGGAUAGACUGCUCACGGUGGAGACCUGAGGUCUCUAACCCAUUCAUGGAAAAUGUGCCGGGAGAAAACCACACAGGGAUUUGAAGACGUUUUUACCCCAAACUUACCUUCUAAUUUCCUUUCCGUGAACUUUUUGAAGUGCCCCGUGUUUAUGUGCUUUUGCUGCUGUUGAGAAGGCCCUUCCUAGCAAACAAUCGCUGCUAGGCUUGGACUUGGAAAAACCAGGACACUGGCAGCCCCCACUGCCUUCCCAAAGCUGUUUAGGAUCCUGCGGGUCUUGGGCUGGCCUGGGGUGAAGCGGGUGAAGCCACAGUUUGCAACACCAGCAGCAAGUUCCAGCUGCUCCACUUCCCAUCCAGCUCCCGCUAAUGCACCUGGGAAGGCAGCACACGGUGGCCGAGCACUUGGACCCCUGCUACUACUCAGGAGACCCAGCGGAGUUCCUGGCUGCUGGCUUCAGCCUGGCCCAGCCCUGGUUGUUGUGACCUUUUGGGGGAGUGAACCAGCCGAUGGAAGGUCUCUCCCUCCCUUUCUGUCCCUUUAAAACACAAGCUUGGGUCUGUGCCCACAGGCCGGAAUGAGCUGUGUUUACUGAUAAACACGCAGCGGCUGGGAAAGCUCCCGGCCAUUUCCCCAGCUCUCGGCCAGCUCUGGCCUCAGGUUUUAUCUGUGAUGCGAACACGUCGUCUUGUGUUGAGACUUGCAGCAUGAGUAUAAGAUUAUACGUGAAGACCUGAUUUUGAUCUCUGACGAAGGCAGGCGUAGGGUGUGGGCGGCAGAGCCAGCAGGAGUUAUGCCCACGUGGGCCUGGCGCUUGCACCACUGGGCACCCUGGGGCCGGGGGCGCAGCCCGCGCAAGAGCUUUUGCCUGCAGGCUGCAGGCUGGNNNNNNNNNNNNNNNNNNNNNNNNNNNNNNNNNNNNNNNNNNNNNNNNNNNNNNNNNNNNNNNNNNNNNNNNNNNNNNNNNNNNNNNNNNNNNNNNNNNNNNNNNNNNNNNNNNNNNNNNNNNNNNNNNNNNNNNNNNNNNNNNNNNNNCCUGCAGGCAGGCGUGAAGUGUCACUCCACAGGGCAUGCAAAGGCCAUCAGUGCUCACCAAAAGGGGGGGUGGCACAGGGCAGGCCCAGGACACAGGCCUCCGCCAGGCAGUCAGGCUGUGGCUGCGAGAGUUUGUGCCGAUGGCCGGCCAGUGCUGAGGCAUAGUGGUUAUGUAAAGCCACCACCUGUGGUGCUGGCAUCCCAUACAGGUGCUGGUUCCAGUCCCAGCUGCUGCACUUCCCAUCCAGCUCUCUGCUAUGGCCUGGGAAAGCAGUAGAAGAUGGCCCAAGUCCUUGGGUCCCUGCACCCACGUGGGAGACUCAGAAGAAGCUCCUGGCUCCUGGCUUUAGGCUGGCAUGCCUCUCAAAUAAAUAAAUAAAUAAACUUAAAAAAAAAAAAAAA